AUCGAUUUCUUCGGAUUGAAAUUUUAGUGACUGAGUGGCGGACGGGUGAGUAACGCGUGGGUAACCUGCCUCACACAGGGGGAUAACAGUUGGAAACGGCUGCUAAUACCGCAUAAGCGCACAGUACCACAUGGUACGGUGUGAAAAACUCCGGUGGUAUGAGAUGGACCCGCGUCUGAUUAGCUGGUUGGUGGGGGUAACGGCCCACCAAGGCGACGAUCAGUAGCCGACCUGAGAGGGUGAUCGGCCACAUUGGGACUGAGACACGGCCCAAACUCC
rnacentral:rRNA from 1 species